GAUGAACGCUAGCGGCAGGCCUAACACAUGCAAGUCGAGGGGUAACUAGAGUGAUAGCAAUAUUACUUUGGCUAGACCGGCGCACGGGUGCGUAACACGUAUGCAACCUACCUUAUACUGGGGAAUAACUUCGAGAAAUCGGCGCUAAUACCCCACAACAUUGCGAAGAGGCAUCUCUUUGCAAUUAAAGCUCCGGCGGUAUAAGAUGGGCAUGCGUCCAAUUAGCUAGUUGGUGAGGUAACGGCUCACCAAGGCUACGAUUGGUAGGGGUUCUGAGAGGAUAAUCCCCCACACUGGUACUGAGACACGGACCAGACUCCUACGGGAGGCAGCAGUGAGGAAUAUUGCGCAAUGGACGAAAGUCUGACGCAGCCAUGCCGCGUGCAGGAUGACGGCCCUAUGGGUUGUAAACUGCUUUUGUACGGGAAUAAACCCUUCUACGUGUAGGAGGCUGAAGGUACCGUAAGAAUAAGCACCGGCUAACUCCGUGCCAGCCGCCGCAGUAA
rnacentral:rRNA from 1 species